UCCUACGGGAGGCAGCAGUGGGGAAUAUUGGGCAAUGGAGGAAACUCUGACCCAGCGACGCCGCGUGCGGGAUGAAGGCCUUCGGGUUGUAAACCGCUUUCAGUAGGGAAGAAGCGAAAGUGACGGUACCUACAAAAGAAGCACCGGCUAACUAUGUGCCAGCAGCCGCGGUAAUACAUAGGGUGCAAGCGUUGUCCGGAAUUAUUGGGCGUAAAGAGCUCGUAGGUCGUUUGUUACGUCGGAUGUGAAAACCUGAGGCUCAACCUCAGGCCUGCAUUCGAUACGGGCAAACUAGAGUUUGGUAGGGGAGACUGGAAUUCCUGGUGUAGCGGUGGAAUGCGCAGAUAUCAGGAGGAACACCAAUGGCGAAGGCAGGUCUCUGGGCCAAUACUGACACUGAGGAGCGAAAGUCUGGGGAGCGAACAGGAUUAGAUACCCUGGUAGUCCAGACCGUAAACGGUGGGCACUAGUUGUGGGAACCUUCCACGGUUUCUGCGACGCAGCUAACGC
rnacentral:rRNA from 1 species